UUGGUGUGGUUGUCGCUGGCCUUCUUGGAGGCAUGUGCACACCUACCAUCCUCAUCUCUCCACCUGUGCACCUCUUGUAGAUUUGGAAUUGAUUAUCCGAGGCAACUCGGUCGUGAGGAAUGCUAGCACUUAGCUGGCUUUCUUUGCAAUUCCAGGUCUAUGUUUUUCAUAUACCCCAUUGUAUGUAACAGAAUGUAUCAUUGGGCCUUGUGCCUAUAAACCUUAUACAACUUUCAGCAACGGAUCUCUUGGCUCUCGCAUCGAUGAAGAACGCAGCGAAAUGCGAUAAGUAAUGUGAAUUGCAGAAUUCAGUGAAUCAUCGAAUCUUUGAACGCACCUUGCGCUCCUUGGUAUUCCGAGGAGCAUGCCUGUUUGAGUGUCAUUAAAUUCUCAACCAUUAUCAACUUUUGCUGAUAAUGGCUUGGAUGUGGGGGUCUAUUUUGCUGGCUUCUCAGAUAGUCAGCUCCCCUUAAAUGCAUUAGCCGGUGCCCCGCGUGGACUGUCUAUUGGUGUGAUAAUUAUCUACGCUAUGGACAUCUGCAAUCAUAUGGGUGUGCACUGCUUCCAGCAGUCUGUUAAAGACAAUACAUGACAAUUUGACCUCAAAUCAGGUAGGAUUACCCGCUGAACUUAAGCAUAUCAAUAAGCGGAGGAAAAGAAACUAACAAGGAUUCCCCUAGUAACUGCGAGUGAAGCGGGAAAAGCUCAAAUUUAAAAUCUGGCGGUCUCUGGCCGUCC
rnacentral:rRNA from 1 species